rnacentral:rRNA from 1 species
GAUGAACGCUGGCGGCGUGCCUAAUACAUGCAAGUCGAGCGAACAGAUGAGGAGCUUGCUCCUCUGACGUUAGCGGCGGACGGGUGAGUAACACGUGGAUAACCUACCUAUAAGACUGGGAUAACUUCGGGAAACCGGAGCUAAUACCGGAUAAUAUAUUGAACCGCAUGGUUCAAUAGUGAAAGACGGUUUUGCUGUCACUUAUAGAUGGAUCCGCGCCGCAUUAGCUAGUUGGUAAGGUAACGGCUUACCAAGGCGACGAUGCGUAGCCGACCUGAGAGGGUGAUCGGCAACACUGGAACUGAGACACGGUCCAGACUCCUACGGGAGGCAGCAGUAGGGAAUCUUCCGCAAUGGGCGAAAGCCUGACGGAGCAACGCCGCGUGAGUGAUGAAGGUCUUCGGAUCGUAAAACUCUGUUAUUAGGGAAGAACAAAUGUGUAAGUAACUAUGCACGUCUUGACGGUACCUAAUCAGAAAGCCACGGCUAACUACGUG